rnacentral:sRNA from 1 species
GUGCGAGAGACAAUACGUUUUCUUACAAUGUGUUUUCAUUCAAAGGAAUAUAGUUCAAUAGACCUACAUUAGUGUUUGCACAUUUCAAACUAGCAAUCUAAAAUCCUGUAAAAUAGAUCGAUCUUCCCAUCGAUCUAGAUUUAGAUCUUGCAUGCUUUAGUUCUUAUGAUUCCAGAACUCAUAUUGAUGUUAGGCUAAUUAUAAUUUAGUCGCAUGAUGAAGUAAACAUUUCACAGAUUUUUUCUUAUUUGUGGUUAAGUACUAGAUCUAGGAAUAGAGUUUGUACUAGCUACCAUUAUAUCUAAUGGGCCUCUUCCAAACGAAAUUUGAUUAUGGGACACAUGAAACUGCCGUCUUUAAAUCAGAUGACGUCGCGGAAGUAGAAAACCAAAAACGCGAAUGUCAGAAAGAUCACACAAAAUAUAUUCCAGUAAAUGAGCUUCUUCUAGAGAAAUUACCAGCAGGCUAUCGCGAGCAAAAUCUUUUCGAUCUG